rnacentral:tRNA from 1 species
GAGGGUAUAGCUCAGUGGUAGAGCACAUACUUAGCAUGCACAAGGUCUUGGGUUCAAUCUCCAGUACCUGCA